rnacentral:misc_RNA from 1 species
UUUGACUCCGGCUGUGCCGUGUAGAAGUGUAAAAGUUUUCUUACAUUGAUACACAGGGCUGCUGUAAAUAACUCCAUAACAAAAAUGUGGUAUUUUUUAGGCAUUCCAAUGCGGCACCGCUGCACAUGUGUACACACUGUUCAUGAUUCAUCAGCUGUCGUUAAUUCGAGAAAGUUUAGGUCAAAAACAACAGUAAAGCACAGCGCAGUUUACAACAAAUUUUUGAAAUCUUUGAGAAAAUUAUUUAAAAAACUAUCCAACAUGUCGAUCAAUACGGCACACGCAAAUAAUGGUGUGCUCAUACAUGCAGGAGAGUACAUUCUGUUGCAUAGCGACAGCGUCUCAAUGGAAUUUUCUGGUCAGGAUAAUGACCUAUUCAGAGGCUCUAAGCAAGGACGAGUUUAUUUGACAUCUCAUAGAAUGAUUUUUAACAGCAAGAAACCAAGCGAUGUAAUGCAAUCGUUUAGCGCACCCUUUGUAGCUCUUUCGGAUGUUGAAAUUGAGCAACCCGUUUUUGGAGCCAACUAUAUUAAGGGCAAGGUCCGUGCCCAGCCUAAUGGCAAUUAUGUGGGCGAGGUGAAGUUCAAGCUGUACUUCAAGUCAGGCGGAGCCAUAGAGUAUGGUCAAGCGUUGUUGCGGGCUGCUAAGACCGCUCAAAGCAACUUUCAUCGUGGUGGUCUUGCUGGCGAUGAUCCGCCACCAUAUGCGCCAGCCGGUGCCUGGCAUGAGGCUCCACCACCGGCUUACCAGCCACCACCAGGUUAUUAUGGCUGGUUGCCACAACAUGAUGCCUUCAGUGGACCGGCACCCAACACUGUUUUUAUAAGUGACAAUCCUCCGCCGUAUCCGGGCAUUACACCACCAAACAACCAACCAGUACCACAUCCUCCGCAGCAGCAGGAGCAGCAAACUGAUCCCACUUGGUAUGGUUUUUCAGCACCACCAGAUCAGCAGCCUCAACAACAGCCUGGCUAUGGCCCCCAAGCCCCCCAAGCUGGUUGGGGUGGCGGCUAUGCACAACCGCCGCCGUACGCAGCCUGUAGGCCAGACAUGCCACCACAGGCACCUUAUAGUGGACCGCCACCCGUAGUUCCCUAUGGAGGCUUUAAUCCAAAUAUACCUGGUGGAUUUAUGCAACCAAGCUUUAUCCCGCCUCAGCAACCUGGCGGUUAUCCUGGCGCAGCUCCACCACAGCAACCAAACGGUUACCCAGGCAGUGCUCCUCCGCAGCAGCCUGGAGGAAACACAUCUGCAGGAAUGUCUGCUGCCAACGCAGGAGGAAGUAGUGCUGCGGCUAAUUUCAUGGGCUUCAGCUUGCCACCUGGAAAAUAAAUUUGGACUCAUGUCUGAAUGACCAGUCUGUCAAUAUCAUCAAAAAUUUAUAAAUUAUACAUUAAAUGUGUAAACUGCAAAUUCGUGCAAAACUACUUUACAGCAAAGCAAACAAG